GUUGAUAGAGGCGCACGUUGUCAAGAGUAGUCGCAACAGAGGCAUAGGAUGCGGUAGCGAAAGGGACACGUGCCGAAGAUGGAAUAUAUCCUCAGUAUAUUCUUUCUGGGUCGGUAGAUAACAUCUAUCGAACUGUCGCAGAUUCUGCGGAGUGCUAUCAU
rnacentral:ncRNA from 1 species